ensembl:lncRNA
GUAAUUACAGAGCAGAGAAGCAAAGCAAAAUAAAGCGUUGGGGGGGGGGGCGGUGUGUUGGGGAGAUGGGGCUUCAGUGGGGUUUCCUGGAGGAGGGGACAUCCAGGAUGGGUUCUGAAGGAUGAACUGGAGCUCGCUGAGGAGGGGGAGGGGCACGCGGGGAUGGAGGCGGCCGGCGGCCUUCCAGGCAGAAGGAACAGCGUGUCCAGAGGCACAGAAGCGUGAAAGCCCCCACGGAUCCAUGUUUGGCUUUGCUGGAGCGGAAAAUGUGAGGGAGGAGAGGCCAGAGAUAAGGCAGGCGCAGUCACCAGGAGCCAGGUCGAGAGGGUCAUGUGUGCAGAACUAAUGAGGUGGCCGUUUAUCCGGCGGGACAGAGGAAUCUCAGCUCUGUGAAGGCAGUGGGCUUUGUCCUCUUGCUGUAUUCCCAGUGCCUGAAAUGUGGCUGGCAGGAAACUUCCAUCUUGGCUACGUGUGUACGUGUGUGCACACCGGCCUAAGUGUGCAUCUGUGAGCAUACAUGCACUGGAUCUUGAUGCAAAGGAUUCUGGCGUUUGUCCUCUGUUCCUGCUGUGGCCUGGAGGGACCAGCCAGGACUUGCAUUGUUGGCUUCAUCUCAGGCAGAUUCCUGACUGGCUCUUGUCGCCUUGGAUCCUGACCCCAGAAUGACUCCUAUGGACGUCUUCUCCCUCAACUAAGACCCAGUGCAGCUAAAUAAG